rnacentral:rRNA from 1 species
UAGGGAAUAUUGGACAAUGGGGGAAACCCUGAUCCAGCCAUGCCGCGUGAGUGAUGAAGGCCUUAGGGUUGUAAAGCUCUUUCGGCGGGGAAGAUAAUGACGGUACCCGCAGAAGAAGCCCCGGCUAACUUCGUGCCAGCAGCCGCGGUAAUACGAAGGGGGCUAGCGUUGCUCGGAAUCACUGGGCGUAAAGCGCACGUAGGCGGAUUUCUAAGUCAGGGGUGAAAUCCUGGAGCUCAACUCCAGAACUGCCUUUGAUACUGGAAAUCUCGAGUUCGGGAGAGGUGAGUGGAACUGCGAGUGUAGAGGUGAAAUUCGUAGAUAUUCGCAAGAACACCAGUGGCGAAGGCGGCUCACUGGCCCGAUACUGACGCUGAGGUGCGAAAGCGUGGGGAGCAAACA